CUGCCGUUUCCUCAUUUUAGCACUGGAUACAACAGAGGGAGCUUCAAAGAGACCUGACUGUAUACCCAGAAAGAGGAGAGGGAACCUCACACCAGCGGCUGUGAUGUGUAGCGGGGCUCUACUGGCUGAACAACACAUCGAUGGGAUAAAACCUCCCGGUCACAUUUAACAGCGUAUUGUGUGUAGUGUGUAUGUGUGUGUGUUUGUUUGUAUGUGUGUGCCGCGAGGACUGAAGAAAUGCUCUUGUAGCGCGAGCGCGAAUGACACUAUCGCCCGCGAGUUUGCUUCACAGAAAUAUUCGGCGGUGCCCUAACUUGGAGCCGUUUGGACGUUGAGCAAGUUUUUUUGUUUUUUGUUUUUUUUUUGUAUUUACUUCAAUUACAUUCGAGUGGUUUACUUGGAGCCCCAAAAGCCCAGGACGAGAUGGAGAGCGACAAGUACUUGCCGGAGCUUAUGGCAGAGAAGGACACGCUGGACCCGUCUUUUCAGCACUCCCUGCGGCUACUGGAUCAAGAGAUCGAAAAAAUUCAGAAAGAUGAGGGGAAGGAAGAGGAGAAGUUCAUUGACGUCGUCAUCAACAAGAACAUGAAACUGGGCCAGAAAGUUUUAAUACCAGUCAAGCAGUUUCCUAAAUUUAACUUUGUCGGCAAACUCCUCGGGCCACGCGGGAACUCGUUAAAGAGACUACAGGAGGACACUCUCACAAAGAUGUCAAUUCUCGGAAAAGGAUCCAUGAGAGACAAAGAAAAGGAAGAAGAGCUACGGCAAAGCGGCGAGGCCAAAUAUCACCACCUGAACGAAGACCUGCAUGUCCUCAUCGAGGUGUUCGCCCCGCCGGCUGAGGCCUACGCCAGGAUGGGUCACGCUUUGGAGGAGAUCAAGAAGUUUCUCAUACCAGAUUACAAUGAUGAGAUCAGACAGGCCCAGCUGCAGGAGCUCACAUACCUGAACGGCGGCUCAGAGGAUGCCAAGGUGCCAUCGGUGAGGGGCAAGUCAGUCGCCCGUGCAAGAGGGACACCUGUUCCAGGGCCUCCCAGGAGUCGAGGAGGAGUUCCUCCGCUGCAUGCGGCGGUGCCCCGAGGAGCAGCACCCAGAGGAGCCCCGCCAAUCCGGGCUCCGUCUUCCAGAGGAAGGGGGGUUCAGAGAGCCAGAGGCGCUCCCCCAACCGCCGGAUACCGGCCGGCUCCUCCCAUAGUUCAGGAAACAUAUGGCGAAUAUGAAUAUGACGACGACUACGGAACAGCUUACGAUGACCAAGGAUAUGAAUCGUAUGACAACAACUACAGUAAUCAAGGACAAAACUCAGAUGACUACUAUGAAUAUGGACACAGUGGGGAAUCAUAUGACUCAUACGGUGUGGAAGAGUGGCCAAACAAUCGCGGCAAGGCACCGCCGGCGCGAACAACCAAGGGAGUGUACAGAGAUCAGCCAUACACCAGAUAUUGAACUGUUUAUACAACCUGCACCUGAGUCCUCAUGGCUGUUUCAACCCAAGUCGAUGUCCUGGCUAGACCUGGCCGUCCGUCCAAUUGUCUCAUUGGUGCUAAAGACUUGACAAACCGCACACGAGCUUCCAUCCAGACAUUCAAGCCCACACAGUGUCAAACCAAAUCCCGAAAAGGCCGUCCGACUUCGCAAAGGAUCUCCCCUUGGCCAAAUGGUGAACUUUCAAAUUAUCACAGUGCGGACUGAGGUGAAUCCUGCACGGGACGACAUGGAGUGACCCGUUGAGAUACAGAGAAGGGGGCGGGGGGGAGAUAAUGCAUAUAUCACACAUCGUCGUUCUCCCGAGAAAGGGAGGGACAGAGGAAAUCCGUCAGGCAAAUGGAGUUCCUCAUCCUCUGGGACGAUCCGUCGGAGAAUAUUUCCUUCAGAUCUUCUGUAUACAUUUAACAUACACACAGGAGUGCUCUGAACUGGCUCUGAACCUGCCCUGUGUCUUCCUUGAUUUAGACUGUUAUUGAGAGGAUGUGUCUACUACUUGUAUUAGACAAUGCUUCCUAGGAAGGAUAAGUAAAUAAAUAAUGCAAUAUGCUAAGGAAA